AUAGUUCUUUCUGCUCAAUGUAAAUAGCCGCAGUACCCUGACUGUGCAAAGGUAGCAUAAUAAUUUGGCUUUUAAUUGAAGUCUGGAAUAAAUGAAAAUUGAAUGUCUCUGUAUCGUUUUAAAAUUAAAAUUAAUAAAUAAGUGAAAAUGCUUAUUAAUAAAAUAGACGAGAAGACCCUAGAAAUUUUUACUUUUGUUGGGGCAACAGUUUGUUAAAAAUAUAACAUAUUAUUAAAAAAACAAAUUACUCUAGGGAUAACAGCUUAAUUAAUAUUGUUUGAGACCUCGAUGUUGGAUUAGGUAUAAAUAAGU
rnacentral:rRNA from 1 species